UUUGAUCUUUGGCUUCCAGGAGCUCACAUCUAGUGGGUCAAUGCAGAGUAAGCAAUAGCAGGUGCCCACAAAGAGCUAUGAAAAAAUGCUGCCCCUACCCCACUUACCCUACCUACAAGAUGAGGAAUCUGAGGCUCAGAGGAUGCAGACAUCGUGUCCAUGGUACCCAUGUCAGAAACCGUUAAAGUAGCCAGGAGACACGAAAUCAGACUUCUCGCCACCAAACUCUGCUUAGAAGACAUGAACCACAACCCGCAGGCCUCCUGAGAACCUGUCUGACGAAAUAAGAUGUCACGUAUUUAGCUGUCUUGUGGAGAAGCCCACAUGGCUUCCAGCCAACAGCCAAUGAGGAACAGAAUCUCAUCAACGAUCAUGUGAAUGAGCUUAGAAACGGUUCCUUCCCCAGUCGAGCUUAAGAUGACUACAGCCCCAGCCAGCACCUUCACUGCAGCCUGGGAGAGAUCUUGAGCAAGGAGCCCCAGCGAAGCCAUGCCUGCAUGCCUGACCUACCCAAGCAGUGAGAUAAUAAAUGUUUUAAGCCACUAAAUUGGGGGGAAAAUUCGUUAUGUGGCAAUAGAUCACUAAUGUAUAUCCUUUGCCCAUGUUUUUUUAAAUUUUUUGAUUUGUAGACAUUCUAUACAAUACAGUUGAAAAGUCCUUUGUGUGUGAUACAUGUCACAACUAUUUUCUAGUAAUCUUUUGCUUACUAUUAAUUUUGUUUACUUGUGUAUUUUAUUAUACAGACUUCAAAGUUUUGAUGUCUUCAAAUCAUUUAUUUGAAUUUCAUUUGAAAGACUUCAUGCACAUCUUUUCU